GUGAGGCAAGAAAUAUUAAUGAAAACUGCAAACACUGGUGCCCAUUAAGUAAUAAGUGGAUCAAGGGUGUCACCUCUUUGGCCAAGGAUCAUACAGACAUGAAUAACUGAGAGUCACUUUUAUUGUUCUGGGUCAGUCUUAAGUUUGAAGUUGAUCUUUUUGUUAAGAGGAAAAACUUACGUUAUGAAAAAUUUAUGAACUCCUGAAUGACUGAGUAAAUGAAAUUUGGAAAGGAAGAAUCAAUGGGGAUAAAAGUUUGGGGUUUUUCUGUCAUUGAUUGUGCUUUGUACUUCCCAAAAUGGACACAUUUGAGCUGAUGGAGCCUUAGCCCAUGGUGGCAAGCUGUAUGAUUGCACCUCUCCGCCGGAAGCUCAGAGAUCAAGAGCGAAAACGCUCAAGAUGAUGUGAGCAUCUUCCGUGGUCACAAACUCUAUAGUUGUGACUUUAUAAUAGGAGCCUGGAGAACAAUAAUGGAGGUUCUAGUUGAUUUCAGGUUCU